rnacentral:rRNA from 1 species
UACGAAGGGGGCUAGCGUUGCUCGGAAUCACUGGGCGUAAAGCGCACGUAGGCGGAUUGUUAAGUCAGGGGUGAAAUCCUGGAGCUCAACUCCAGAACUGCCUUUGAUACUGGACGAUCUUGAGUCCGGGAGAGGUGUGUGGAAGCAUCCGGAGUGUAGAGGUGAAAUUCGUAGAUAUUCGGAAGAACACCAGUGGCGAAGGCGGGAUCGUUCUGGACAGUUCCUGACGCUGAGGCGCGAAGGCCAGGGGAGCAAGCGGG